rnacentral:tRNA from 3 species
GCGGGAGUGGCGAAAUUGGCAGACGCACCAGCUUGAGGGGCUGGCGGUAGCAAUACCGUGCAGGUUCAAAUCCUGUCUCCCGCA